rnacentral:pre_miRNA from 1 species
CUGUUCCCUGGAGUUCCCCUGACCACUUCACCAGGGUUAUUUUAAAGACCCUUUAACUGAGGGAAACUUCUUGCCCUACUGAAGUGUUUGGGGGAACUCUGGGUGAUAG